rnacentral:rRNA from 1 species
GUAGAGCACUGUUUCGGCAAGGGGGUCAUCCCGACUUACCAACCCGAUGCAAACUGCGAAUACCGGAGAAUGUUAUCACGGGAGACACACGGCGGGUGCUAACGUCCGUCGUGAAGAGGGAAACAACCCAGACCGCCAGCUAAGGUCCCAAAGUCAUGGUUAAGUGGGAAACGAUGUGGGAAGGCCCAGACAGCCAGGAUGUUGGCUUAGAAGCAGCCAUCAUUUAAAGAAAGCGUAAUAGCUCACUGGUCGAGUCGGCCUGCGCGGAAGAUGUAACGGGGCUAAACCAUGCACCGAAGCUGCGGCAGCGACGCUGAUGCGUUGUUGGGUAGGGGAGCGUUCUGUAAGCCUGCGAAGGUGUGCUGUGAGGCAUGCUGGAGGUAUCAGAAGUGCGAAUGCUGACAUAAGUAACGAUAAAGCGGGUGAAAAGCCCGCUCGCCGGAAGACCAAGGGUUCCUGUCCAACGUUAAUCGGGGCAGGGUGAGUCGACCCCUAAGGCGAGGCCGAAAGGCGUAGUCGAUGGGAAACAGGUUAAUAUUCCUGUACUUGGUGUUACUGCGAAGGGGGGACGGAGAAGGCUAUGUUGGCCGGGCGACGGUUGUCCCGGUUUAAGCGUGUAGGCUGGUUUUCCAGGCAAAUCCGGAAAAUCAAGGCUGAGGCGUGAUGACGAGGCACUACGGUGCUGAAGCAACAAAUGCCCUGCUUCCAGGAAAAGCCUCUAAGCAUCAGGUAACAUCAAAUCGUACCCCAAACCGACACAGGUGGUCAGGUAGAGAAUACCAAGGCGCUUGAGAGAACUCGGGUGAAGGAACUAGGCAAAAUGGUGCCGUAACUUCGGGAGAAGGCACGCUGAUAUGUAGGUGAAGUCCCUCGCGGAUGGAGCUGAAAUCAGUCGAAGAUACCAGCUGGCUGCAACUGUUUAUUAAAAACACAGCACUGUGCAAACACGAAAGUGGACGUAUACGGUGUGACGCCUGCCCGGUGCCGGAAGGUUAAUUGAUGGGGUUAGCGGUAACGCGAAGCUCUUGAUCGAAGCCCCGGUAAACGGCGGCCGUAACUAUAACGGUCCUAAGGUAGCGAAAUUCCUUGUCGGGUAAGUUCCGACCUGCACGAAUGGCGUAAUGAUGGCCAGGCUGUCUCCACCCGAGACUCAGUGAAAUUGAACUCGCUGUGAAGAUGCAGUGUACCCGCGGCAAGACGGAAAGACCCCGUGAACCUUUACUAUAGCUUGACACUGAACAUUGAGCCUUGAUGUGUAGGAUAGGUGGGAGGCUUAGAAGUGUGGACGCCAGUCUGCAUGGAGCCGACCUUGAAAUACCACCCUUUAAUGUUUGAUGUUCUAACGUUGACCCGUAAUCCGGGUUGCGGACAGUGUCUGGUGGGUAGUUUGACUGGGGCGGUCUCCUCCUAAAGAGUAACGGAGGAGCACGAAGGUUGGCUAAUCCUGGUCGGACAUCAGGAGGUUAGUGCAAUGGCAUAAGCCAGCUUGACUGCGAGCGUGACGGCGCGAGCAGGUGCGAAAGCAGGUCAUAGUGAUCCGGUGGUUCUGAAUGGAAGGGCCAUCGCUCAACGGAUAAAAGGUACUCCGGGGAUAACAGGCUGAUACCGCCCAAGAGUUCAUAUCGACGGCGGUGUUUGGCACCUCGAUGUCGGCUCAUCACAUCCUGGGGCUGAAGUAGGUCCCAAGGGUAUGGCUGUUCGCCAUUUAAAGUGGUACGCGAGCUGGGUUUAGAACGUCGUGAGACAGUUCGGUCCCUAUCUGCCGUGGGCGCUGGAGAACUGAGGGGGGCUGCUCCUAGUACGAGAGGACCGGAGUGGACGCAUCACUGGUGUUCGGGUUGUCAUGCCAAUGGCACUGCCCGGUAGCUAAAUGCGGAAGAGAUAAGUGCUGAAAGCAUCUAAGCACGAAACUUGCCCCGAGAU